GAAGCAGCCACCCUUUAAAGAGUGCGUAACAGCUCACUCGUUAAGAGAUCUUGCGCCGAAGAUAAUCGGGGCUAAGCAAAGUACCGAAGAUUGGGAUGGUUCCGCAUUCGUGCGGGACCGUGGUAGGAGAGCGUUCUUUAUGCGAUGAAGGUCACGGCGUGAGCCGGACUGGAGCGUAGAGAAGUGAGAAUGUUGGCACAAGUAACCGCAAGAUCCGUGAGAUCCGGAUCCGCCGAAAGCCCAAGGUUUCCUUGGCAAUGGUGAUCAACCAAGGGUUAGUCGGUCCUAAGGCAAUGGCGAAAGCCGCAGCCGAUGGACAGAUGGUUAAUAUUCCAUCACCCCCGCGUUUUUUGACGGAGCGACGGAGGAAACAAGAAAGAGCGCAUUAUUGGAUUUGCGUUUCCGCGAAUAGAAUUGUUCUCCAGGCAAAUCCGGAGAACGGCCGCAAGGCAAAAUUCAAGAGCGGGAAAACUUUCCGCUACGGCAGAAAGGAUUCUUUUGAAGAGCCUUCCCAGAAAACCUUCUAAAAUUAAAAGCGCGGGGACCGUACCGCAAACCGACACAGGUGGGCAGGUCGAGAAGACCAAGGCGAACGGGUGAGUCCUCUCCAAGGAACUCGGCAAAAAAGCACUCGUAAGUUAGCGAUAAGAGUUACCCGAUGAAAAUCGGGUUGCAACAAAAGUACCCCUGGCGACUGUUUAUCAAAAACACAGCUCCCUGCGAACUCGUAAGAGGAUGUAUAGGGGGUGACGCCUGACCAAUGCGAGAAGGUUAACGUUGGCGGUGCGUGGAAAUUUAUUUCUGCGUGCUGACUGACCGAAGCCCUCGUCAAUGUCAGCGAUAACUAUAAUCGUUCUAAGGUAGCGCAAUUCCUUGCGUGGUAAGUUCACGCGCGCACGAAAGGCGUAACGACUGGGGGACUGUCUCGGAGAGGAGCCCGGUGAAAAUACAGUACCGGUGAAGAUGCCGGUUACCUGCAGUUAGACGAAAAGACCCCGGAAGCUUUACUAUAGCUUGAUAUUGGGUUUAAGUUUCUGAUGCGUAGCAUAGUGGGGAGGCUUUGAUGUGUUGUUUUAGGAUGACACGGAGCCGUCAGUGAAAUACCCAUCUUCAGUUUCUUAUAUUCUAACCUCGAGGGAAAAAACCGCGGGGAACAGUAUCUGGCGGGUAGUUUAAGUGGGGCACUUCCCUCCUAAAGAGUAAUGGAGGGGCCUAUUAAGGUCGGUUAGCUCCGGAUGGAAAUCGGAGCGAUAGGGUAACGCCAUAAACCGGCUUAACUGCGAGGCGGACAUGCCGAGCAGGUGCGAAAGCAGAGCGUAGUGAUCCGAUCGUCGGCAUUAGAUGCCGCGAAAGCUCAACGGAUAAAAGCUACUCCGGGGAUAACAGGCUAGUACCGCCCGAGCGUCCACAGCGACGGCGGUGUUCGGCACCUCGAUGUCGGCUCACCACAUCCCGGGGGUGGAGAAGCUCCCAAGGGUUUGGCUGUUCGCCAAUUAAAGUGGUACGCGAGCUGGGUUCAAACCGU
rnacentral:rRNA from 1 species